rnacentral:rRNA from 1 species
AUGUUCAACGACUGCAUCGCGGAGCUUGGCCUUCGUGAGCUUGAGCGAACGGGGGCCCGGUUCACCUGGACUAACCGCCAGGCGAACCCGACGCAGUCCGUUCUGGACCACAUCCUAGUCUCUCCGGAGUGGGAACUCAGAUGUCCUCUGGCCUCGCUGCAGGCUAUCACCCGGAUCGACUCCGAUCAUGUCCCCCUCCUCCUCUCCUCCGCAGAUGAACGCCCCCCCAUCCCUCCUCGGUUCCGGUUUGAGCUCUUCUGGCUCAACCAGGCCGGAUUCCGCGAGGCCGUUGCGGCUAAGUGGACCGCCGCGCGUGAUUCUCCUCACCGCACCAUGUCCGCUGUUGACUCCUGGCAGUUCUGCACCAAGCUUGCACGCCAAUUUAUGAAGGGUUGGGGCGCGAACCUCGGCCGUGAUCUCCGUGACCGCAAGAAGGCCCUUCUGAGUGCCAUCCAAGUCCUGGACGCCCGCGCUAACACUUCUGGGAUCUCCCCGGACGAGUGGAUGCUGAGAUAUGAUCUCGAGGACCAGCUCUCGGUCAUCUACUCGGAUGAGGAGGCAUACUGGCAGCUGCGCGGCACCCAACGGUGGGUGCUCCAUGGUGACGCUAACACGGCUUACUUCCAGGCGAUCGCCAAUGGCCGGCGUCGACGGAACUCCAUUCACUCCUUGUGGGACGACGAUACUCAGCUUGUUCGCCCCUCGAACAUCCGAGCCCACGUAGACGGCUUCUAUAAAGCCCUUUUCUCCCCUACCCCUUGGGGUGGGGCUGCGCUGGCCCCCGACACCUGGUCGGGUGCCCAGCUAGUUUCCGACGAGGCCAAUGCCGCCCUGGUGGCACCUUUCUCGGAGGAGGAGGUCCUAGCAGCGAUCAAAGGAAUGAACCCCUCCUCGGCUCCGGGCCCGGAUGGAUUGCGAGUCUCGUUUUUCAAAACAUUCUCGCAAACCAUCAAACCGGAAGUCAUGGCUGAUACGUCUCCAACGUAUCUAUAA